rnacentral:rRNA from 1 species
CACGCAGGCGGUCUGCUAAGUUCGGAGUGACAGUCACCAGCUUAACUGGUGAAGGACUUUGAAAACUGGCGGACUUGAGAGCGAGAGAGCGACAUGGAAUUUCGGGUGGAGCAGUGAAAUGCGUAGAUAUCCGGAGGAACACCAAAGGCGAAGGCAGUGUCCUGGCUCGUAUCUGACGCUGAGGUGCGAAAGCCAGGGGAGCAAACGGGAUUAGAUACCCCGGUAGUCCUGGCCCUAAACGAUGUCCACUAGGUCGGUGGCUCUCUGACGAGGUACUGGCCGAAACAAAAGCGAUAAGUGGACCGCCUGGGGAGUACGGUCGCAAGGCUAAA